rnacentral:rRNA from 1 species
GAUGAACGCUGGCGGCGUGCCUAAUACAUGCAAGUCGAGCGAACAGACGUGGAGCUUGCUCCUCUGACGUUAGCGGCGGACGGGUGAGUAACACGUGGAUAACCUACCUAUAAGACUGGGAUAACUUCGGGAAACCGGAGCUAAUACCGGAUAAUAUAUUGAACCGCAUGGUUCAAUAGUGAAAGACGGUUUUGCUGUCACUUAUAGAUGGAUCCGCGCCGCAUUAGCUAGUUGGUAAGGUAACGGCUUACCAAGGCAACGAUGCGUAGCCGACCUGAGAGGGUGAUCGGCCACACUGGAACUGAGACACGGUCCAGACUCCUACGGGAGGCAGCAGUAGGGAAUCUUCCGCAAUGGGCGAAAGCCUGACGGAGCAACGCCGCGUGAAUGAUGAAGGUCUUCGGAUCGUAAAACUCUGUUAUUAGGGAAGAACAAAUGUGUAAGUAACUAUGCACGUCUUGACGGUACCUAAUCAGAAAGCCACGGCUAACUACGUG